GCAGGGCACGGAUCCCUCCAGGGAGCCUGGAGCCAGCCCCUCAAGCCGCGGGAUACGGGGAAUCAGCCCCACUGCCAGCUGCUGAAACACCAGUGGGGCAAUAAAGGGAGCAAAGCCGAGGAUUUCCAAGCUCGGAGCCCCAUCUCCGCAUGAAAGAGGAGCCUGCUGUGCUGAGAAUCUCCUUCCCAGAUGCUCACAGGAGCUGUGCUGCCUUCUGAAGACUGAAGAGGGGGGUGAGGAUCUGCAGAGAGCACGAGAGCAUGGCCCUGUGCACACGGCAAACUCCACUCUUCCCCUCAGAGCAAGCCAGGAGCUGAUGUACAUGAGCUUUAAUUUGCAGCCCAGGACCUCGACUGAUGAGUGCUCCACGUAUGGAAAGCUCUGACUGACAGCCUAAACCCUGGAUGGGGAGUGAUGGGUAUCUCAAACAAAACUGCCGAGCAGACACAGCAGCAACCUCCACCCAGUCAGGUUUCUAAGCCAACUUUAAGGCAGAAUCAGGACUAACACCAGGCAAUUAAAAGCAUCAGUGAUUUCCUCUCAGGAGAAGCUAAAUUGGAGACCCUUUGGAAUAUUUACUUUCCUUAAGUACAGAAAACCUUCCCCAAAAGACAGAAAUUAUUUGAACCUUCAGCUCCAGUAUUUCUUAUCACAUAGCCCUGGAAAGUGGGACAAACAGCCUCAGCUUUUUGUAUCCCCACUUGUGCACCCCAAGGAAAAUGCAGAAGGAGUUAAAUUUGACUUGGAACUUGUGAGUAUCAACCAUGUUAUUCUGGUGAAAGCUUAGGAGAAAGGGUAGGUUUUCUAAUAUGUUUCUGGAUAUUUCUCAUCGCUUCUGGUCCUGCAGUCCUAAAACAUUCUUCAAAACUUUUUUCCCCAGCAAGGCUAAGCAAAUGUUUCCUAUAGGACCUUCCUGAUCUUGUCACUGUUCCUGCCUGGAAAGGGGGUGAAGUUCAGCAGCCUCACAUGGACAUUAUCAGCCAUGGCUUUCCUUCCUGGAAACUCCUCUGAGUGCUCCAACUGCACCCACUCUGUGGAGCCCGUGAACAUUUCCAAGGCCAUCUUAUUGGGUGUUAUUCUAGGGGGGCUGAUUGUCUUUGGGGUUUUGGGUAAUAUCCUGGUUAUCCUGUCCGUAGCCUGCCACAGACACCUCCAGAGUGUCACUCACUAUUACAUCAUCAACCUGGCUGUAGCUGACCUCCUCCUGACUUCUACUGUCCUGCCCUUCUCAGCCACCAUGGAGAUUUUGGGCUACUGGGUCUUUGGGAGGAUCUUCUGCAACAUCUGGGCAGCUGUUGAUGUGCUUUGCUGUACUGCUUCCAUCAUGAGCCUCUGCAUCAUCUCCAUUGAUCGAUACAUCGGGGUGAGCUACCCACUGAGGUACCCCAGCAUAGUGACAGAGAGGAGGGGCCUCUUGGCCCUGCUGUGUGUCUGGGCACUGUCCCUGGUCAUCUCCAUUGGGCCCCUUUUCGGCUGGAAGGAGCCAGCCCCCGAGGAUGAGACAAUCUGCCAGAUCACCGAGGAGCCUGGCUACGUCUUGUUCUCAGCACUGGGCUCCUUCUACCUGCCCCUGAUCAUCAUCCUGGUGAUGUACUGCCGGGUCUACGUGGUGGCCAAAAGGGAAAACAAAGGGCUGACCUCUGGGCUGAAGACAGAGAAAUCCCAUUCCGAGGAGGUGACCCUCCGCAUCCACCGCAAAAACAUCCCUGGUGCAAGCAGCUCUGCAGCCAACCCCAAGAGCAAGCACCACUUCUCUGUGCGCCUGCUCAAGUUCUCCAGGGAAAAGAAAGCUGCCAAGACCCUGGGAAUAGUUGUGGGAUGCUUCGUUCUCUGCUGGCUCCCAUUUUUUGUAGUAAUGCCUCUUGGCUCUUUCUUUCCUGCAAUCAAACCCCCGGACACACUUUUUAAAAUAACAUUUUGGCUGGGAUAUUUAAACAGCUGCAUCAACCCCAUCAUCUAUCCAUGCUCAAGUCAAGAGUUCAAGAAAGCAUUCCAUAACGUCCUGAGAGCUCAGUGCCUCCUGAGGAAGCAGCCAGCAGUGAAGCAAACACCCAGCUUCAACCUCAACCAUCCUGCAGGCCAGAGCAUGGAGGGUGGCAAAGGGGUGGUCCGGAUCCCUGUGGGAUCAGGAGAAACCUUCUACAAGAUCUCCAAGUCAGACGGGGUUUGUGAGUGGAAGAUCUUCUCCGCCGUGCAGGGUGUGCCCACCAAAAAUGCUGUUUCCAAAGACUGCACAGCUGCCAAAGCUAAGAGCAAAGGGUUCCUGCAGGAAUGCUGCUGUGCAGGCACUUCAGGGAGUCUUGUCCACGAGAACUGCAAAGUGCCAACCAUCAAAAUCCACUCAAUCUCCCUGAGUGAGAGUGGGGAGGAUGUAUAACCAGCUGGGUGCGCCAGGCUGGCAGCUUGGGGACCUCAUGGGAUGUCACUCUUUUUAUGGGGAAGUAGGAAUAGGCAUGAUAAUUGAAAGGAUCCAGGUAUGAACAGGUGAAACAGGGCCAAAUCUUCAGAGGAAGGAUGUCUGUGAGUGCUGGGAGCAUGAAUGGAGCCCCUCAAAGACAGUGCAUGGCUUCAGUGGAUGUUAUUCUGAGAGUUCAGCAUCUGCCAGGUGUUUCCUUGGCAUUUAAAAGCUUUACCUCUUUAUUCUCCUCCCUUAAAGUUCCCACUGCUCUCAUUUAGGCAAUGGAGGAGAAAGUGAGAACCACAAAGACCCUGUGCUGAUUUCAGCCUUUGACACUCUCUGGCAGCUCCACCUUCAGAGCCAUUUUGUGAUUCCACGCCUCCCCAUGAAGCCAAACCUCACCUUUGGAUUUCAGUCAACUCCAUUGCCAAGGAAAACUUGAUCCAAGUGACUGCACUCCACCAAGCUUCAGAGACCAAGGAGAACUUUUUCUUUUUGUACAAUCAGCCUCCCUUAUCUCCACACCAUACCAAAUGAAAAUUUGCAUGUGUACCUGGUUUGUUCUGACGAUCCAUGUGCCUUGAUGCAGGUCUAAUAAAACUCAAAACUAGAUUCUAAAGAAUGUGUCUGUGUGCAGUGACGCUGAAAAGAUUCUAGUCCUCAGCAUCAGGUGAGCCUGGUCCCAGCCACACCUCUGCUGCUGCCAGGUUUGCCAGUAACAAGAAACACCAAAUUUGUUUGGCUCCCUCAGAGAAUUUCUGCAGGAAAACUGCCCUGCCCUUGUUUCAAGAAGGGUCAUUGGCACUUGUCAUUUCGGUGGGUAUUUGGACUGAGAAGUCUCAAAAACUAUAGAAGGGGCUCUAGGAAACAGGAAAAAAAA